ACGAACGCUGGCGGCGUGCUUAACACAUGCAAGUCGAACGGAAAGGCCCUGCUUUUGUGGGGUGCUCGCGUGGCGAACGGGUGAGUAACACGUGAGUAACCUGCCCUUGACUUUGGGAUAACUUCAGGAAACUGGGGCUAAUACCGGAUAGGAGCUCCUGCUGCAUGGUGGGGGUUGGAAAGUUUCGGCGGUUGGGGAUGGACUCGCGGCUUAUCAGCUUGUUGGUGGGGUAGUGGCUUACCAAGGCUUUGACGGGUAGCCGGCCUGAGAGGGUGACCGGCCACAUUGGGACUGAGAUACGGCCCAGACUCCUACGGGAGGCAGCAGUGGGGAAUAUUGCACAAUGGGCGGAAGCCUGAUGCAGCAACGCCGCGUGCGGGAUGACGGCCUUCGGGUGGUAAACCGCUUUCGCCUGUGACGAAGCGUGAGUGACGGUAAUGGGUAAAGAAGCACCGGCUAACUACGU
rnacentral:rRNA from 1 species